UUGGCGCCGUUGCCGGGGA
rnacentral:snRNA from 1 species